rnacentral:rRNA from 1 species
CAUGCAUGUCUCAGUACAAGCCAAAUUAAGGUGAAACCGCGAAAGGCUCAUUAAAUCAGUUAUGGUUCCUUAGAUCGUACCCACAAUUACUUGGAUAACUGUGGUAAUUCUAGAGCUAAUACAUGCAAACAGAGCUCCGACCGGAGACGGAAGGAGUGCUUUUAUUAGAUCAAAACCAAUCGGUGGCGGGCUCGUCAUCGUACAACUUGGUGACUCUGAAUAACUUUACGCUGAUCGCACGGUCUCGCACCGGCGACGCAUCUUUCAAAUGUCUGCCUUAUCAACUGUCGAUGGUAGGUUCUGCGCCUACCAUGGUUGUAACGGGUAACGGGGAAUCAGGGUUCGAUUCCGGAGAGGGAGCCUGAGAAACGGCUACCACAUCCAAGGAAGGCAGCAGGCGCGCAAAUUACCCACUCCCGGCACGGGGAGGUAGUGACGAAAAAUAACGAUACGGGACUCAUCCGAGGCCCCGUAAUCGGAAUGAGUACACUCUAAACCCUUUAACGAGGAUCAAUUGGAGGGCAAGUCUGGUGCCAGCAGCCGCGGUA